rnacentral:rRNA from 1 species
UAUACAGCGAAACUGCGAAUGGCUCAUUAUAUAAGUUAUCGUUUAAAAGAUAGUGCCUUACUACUUGGAUAACCGUGGUAAUUCUAGAGCUAAUACAUGCUAAAAACCCCGACUUCGGAAGGGGUGUAUUUAUUAGAUACAAAACCAAUGCCCUUCGGGGCUCUUUGGUGAUUCAUGAUAACUAUACGAAUCGCACGGCCUUGCGCCGGCGAUGGUUCAUUCAAAUUUCUUCCCUAUCAACUUUCGAUGUUUGGGUAUUGGCCAAACAUGGUUGCAACGGGUAACGGAGGGUUAGGGCUCGACCCCGGAGAAGGAGCCUGAGAAACGGCUACUACAUCCAAGGAGGGCAGCAGGCGCGCAAAUUACCCAAUCCCGACUCGGGGAGGUAGUGACAAUAAAUACUGAUACAGGGCCCUUUCGGGCCUUGUAAUUGGAAUGAGUACAAUUUAAAUCCCUUAACGAGGAACAAUUGGAGGGCAAGUCUGGUGCCAGCAGCCGCGGUAAUUCCAGCUCCAAUAGCGUAUAU